rnacentral:ncRNA from 1 species
CUAGGCUGCGCCCGUCACUGACUCAUCAGUGAUCGGGUUUAGCAGCCUGUUUU